rnacentral:rRNA from 1 species
GACGAACGCUGGCGGCGUGCUUAACACAUGCAAGUCGAACGGAAAGGCCCUGCUUUUGUGGGGUGCUCGAGUGGCGAACGGGUGAGUAACACGCGAGUAACCUGCCCUUGACUUUGGGAUAACUUUAGGAAACUGGGGCUAAUACCGGAUAGGAGCUCCUGCUGCAUGGUGGGGGUUGGAAAGUUUCGGCGGUUGGGGAUGGACUCGCGGCUUAUCAGCUUGUUGGUGGGGUAGUGGCUUACCAAGGCUUUGACGGGUAGCCGGCCUGAGAGGGUGACCGGCCACAUUGGGACUGAGAUACGGCCCAGACUCCUACGGGAGGCAGCAGUGGGGAAUAUUGCACAAUGGGCGGAAGCCUGAUGCAGCAACGCCGCGUGCGGGAUGACGGCCUUCGGGUUGUAAACCGCUUUCGCCUGUGACGAAGCGUGAGUGACGGUAAUGGGUAAAGAAGCACCGGCUAACUACGUG